rnacentral:rRNA from 1 species
UACGGAGGAUCCAAGCGUUAUCCGGAUUUAUUGGGUUUAAAGGGUGCGUAGGCGGUUUAUUAAGUCAGGGGUGAAAGACGGCAGCUUAACUGUCGCAGUGCCUUUGAUACUGAUGAACUUGAAUAUACUAGAAGUAGGCGGAAUGUGACAAGUAGCGGUGAAAUGCAUAGAUAUGUCACAGAACACCGAUUGCGAAGGCAGCUUACUAUGGUAUUAUUGACGCUGAGGCACGAAAGCGUGGGGAUCAAACAGG